AAGGCUUGACAUGCACCGGCCCCGAAGGGCUGCCGUAUUUCUACGACAUUCCAGUGCAUGUCAAGCCUUGGUAAGGUUCUUCGCGUCGCGUCGAAUUAAACCACAUGCUCCGCUGCUUGUGCGGGCCCCCGUCAAUUCCUUUGAGUUUUAGCCUUGCGGCCGUACUCCCCAGGCGGGGUGCUUAAUGCGUUAGCUGCGGCACGGACGGAGUCGACACCGCCCACGCCUAGCACCCAUCGUUUACAGCGUGGACUAC
rnacentral:misc_RNA from 1 species